ensembl:lncRNA
GCACAUUGUUCUUGAAGGACUUUCCUUGGACAACAGUUCAGGCUUUACUCUUGCUUCUUCUGGGAUUUCUCCUGCUGGCUGCACCUGGUGUCAUCUGGAAAUGUUGCCGGGAGAAAGAGCAAGAAUGCUGGACCAAAGGCAAAGCAAUCAGAAGACCGAGCCAGUGUGAGUCCAAAGAAGACUAUGGAAGAAGGAUUGGACAGAGGAGAAGGGAGAGGACCAGGAUGAAGAGGAUCAAAGGGAUUUGCAGUUGAGGUUUGUUUUUGUUUUGUUUUGUUUUUGACAGAACAAGGCAUUUAUUACAGAAACACCCUCAAACCACACUGGAAAAGAUGUUCACAAGGGUGGAUGCAACAGAGACCAACCCUGGAGUAGAGGGGCACCCACAUCAGGCCAUCCCACCCCCUGAAGUUGAGGUUUUUAAUGCAGGCCCUUCUCCUUCAAUACCACAGUGCCCCCUUUUUACUUCCCCUGAGCUAUGACCCUGACUGUGACCUUCAUUCUGGCACAGCUCACAGGACUCACUGCAUACACAACCCAAGAUGCAGUCUCCCAGAGGCCCUUUCCAUGUACAACUGGUUCAUCUCCUAUGGAGGAUACUGAUUCAUUUCUUGUCUUUUGCAGAGAAACUCUGAGAGCUUUGUAAGUCCUGUGCCACCCUCUCCCGUGUGUACGAUCUGAGAGCCUCUCCUGUGCCCUUUCUCUCAUGAGGUUUCUUUGUUCUACUUCAGGCUGGAGAAAAGCCCAGAAAGUGGAUGGACCCCUUCUUCAGGAGCGCGCAGCACUGGAUCGCUGUUUUCUUGGAGAACCUGACUGCUGCUUCUUGCAGUGUCUAGUUACUUCCUGCGGCAGCAGAAGAAGGAAAAAGAGGUCUCUUCCUGGAGAAAGAAAGAGAGAAAGAGGAAAAAGAAACUGCCAAGGCGGAAAAGGAGCAAGAACAAAAAAAAAGGUAUCUAACCCUGAGAGGGAAGCUUACCAAAGGGAGCUCAACCACCUCACCCCAUCCCCACUCCACUCGCCCAUCCAGGCACUGGGUCAUUUUUAAGGUUUGUUUUCCAGAAGUCUUCCUCCCUCAAUCCCCAUAACAGUCAGUAUUUUAAAAGUUCUUACAUUCAGCUCCUCGGAGUUCUUAAUUUAUAACUGACUUAUAAAUGAGAAGUUUCUCUUGUGGUUUAGUUUGGGAGUGACCAUCCAGUAAAAGAUGCAAUGUGGUUUAUGCACACAAAACAACCUUGGCUAUCCUCCCCGAGGCGGGUGUACAGCCUGGCAGCGGGACCAGGUAGAGCCACCUCAGUCCCAUCGGGACGUAGUCAUGCCCCCCCCUUCACUAUUCGAGUUCAGUAACAGUGCAGAUUCCAUGUGGCCUUUUCGCUACUCUCCGAGAAGUGCCUGAUGAUGUUGAUGCACUUAGAGACACAAGAACAGUCUUUGCUAUUAUUGCAUAAAGCCAUAAAUGUACAUAAUUUAUGUUUAAAUGGUUAAAAAAAAAAAAAGCAGGGGGAGUUCAACCACCUUGCUCAGUGGUUGCAGAGUCAGUCCAGCAUGAACUCAGUGAGUUCUGAUUCACCCCCACCCCAGAAACUAAGCACAUCCUCCCACCUCCACUUUAGUCUUCGCAUGACUUAUCGUCUUUCUUCCUUUGCAGAGUGGAGAAAGACCCAGGACAUGGCUUGUGAGUGGCUCUGACAUAUUCUCUUGCAUUCGCAUCUAAGACUGUCUCGGCCGAAAUAUUUUCCAGCCCGUUUUCUCAGCCCCUAACUCUGUCCUGGGCUGCGGAAUGUUCUGGAUCCUUUCCCCCAAGGAAAGAAAUAUGGGUGGCUAAUGGGGGGAAGUAGUGGUGGGGAGAAUCAUGUGUGUGUGUGUGUGUGUGUGUGUGUGUGUGUUUUAAUGAUGAAAAGGACACUCAAUCUCCUUCUAUGAGGUGUUCACAAACUCUUAAGCCUAACAAUGCAUCUCAGAAUAGCCAGGGAAUGCCAAAGGAAAAGGGGCGAGGAGAAUGGAACUCCAUAUAAGAAGUGCCUUCCCUAUACCUGGAACCUCACUGG